UACGAAGGGGGCUAGCGUUGCUCGGAAUCACUGGGCGUAAAGGGUGCGUAGGCGGGUUUUUAAGUCAGGGGUGAAAUCCUGGAGCUCAACUCCAGAACUGCCUUUGAUACUGAAGAUCUUGAGUCCGGGAGAGGUGAGUGGAACUGCGAGUGUAGAGGUGAAAUUCGUAGAUAUUCGCAAGAACACCGGUGGCGAAGGCGGCGCUCUGGACCGAGACUGACGCUGAGGCGCGAAGGCGUGGGGAGCAAACAGG
rnacentral:rRNA from 1 species